GCUAGCCUCAAGUGAUGAUUAUUGGAGGUAGAGCACUGUUUGGACGAGGGGCCCCUCUCGGGUUACCGAAUUCAGACAAACUCCGAAUGCCAAUUAAUUUAACUUGGGAGUCAGAACAUGGGUGAUAAGGUCCAUGUUCGAAAGGGAAACAGCCCAGACCACCAGCUAAGGUCCCAAAAUAUAUGUUAAGUGGAAAAGGAUGUGGCGUUGCCCAGACAACUAGGAUGUUGGCUUAGAAGCAGCCAUCAUUUAAAGAGUGCGUAAUAGCUCACUAGUCGAGUGACACUGCGCCGAAAAUGUACCGGGGCUAAACAUAUUACCGAAGCUGUGGAUUGUCCUUUGGACAAUGGUAGGAGAGCGUUCUAAGGGCGUUGAAGCAUGAUCGUAAGGACAUGUGGAGCGCUUAGAAGUGAGAAUGCCGGUGUGAGUAGCGAAAGAUGGGUGAGAAUCCCGUCCACCGAUUGACUAAGGUUUCCAGAGGAAGGCUCGUCCGCUCUGGGUUAGUCGGGUCCUAAGCUGAGGCCGACAGGCGUAGGCGAUGGAUAACAGGUUGAUAUUCCUGUACCACCUAUAAUCGUUUUAAUCGAUGGGGGGACGCAGUAGGAUAGGCGAAGCGUGCGAUUGGAUUGCACGUCUAAGCAGUAAGGCUGAGUAUUAGGCAAAUCCGGUACUCGUUAAGGCUGAGCUGUGAUGGGGAGAAGACAUUGUGUCUUCGAGUCGUUGAUUUCACACUGCCGAGAAAAGCCUCUAGAUAGAAAAUAGGUGCCCGUACCGCAAACCGACACAGGUAGUCAAGAUGAGAAUUCUAAGGUGAGCGAGCGAACUCUCGUUAAGGAACUCGGCAAAAUGACCCCGUAACUUCGGGAGAAGGGGUGCUCUUUAGGGUU
rnacentral:rRNA from 1 species